CUCCAAGGGCGAGUGGAGUCUACUACACUCUUUCUUGGCUUGUGUAGUAUACUAUACUAUAGGUCAUUCGAAAGGGCUCCGUAUAGUUGUUCUAUUUUGGGAUGUAACGUUGUGGUUGUUCCCUCGACUGACCAAACCCUCACCUCAAGAGGGAUGUGGGUGCUCCCUCCUGCUAGGAUGAGGGGAGGAAUAAUCAAACUCCUUGUCGUAGGAAGAUUUUGAGCUAUAGCUAUAAGAGAGAGGAAGCAUCUUCGCCCGCUAGCAAUUGCACUGGAUAAUGUGGCUUCUAGAUCCGACCUAGAAUAGUCCGAGGACAAGAUACUUAUAGGAUUGUUUCAUUCACAGGGGACCAUACAAUACCUACCGUAUAUAGUCCCCAGUGAACUCCCUCCUUCUCAAUCGGCGAAGCCUCACCUCACUAAGAACUC
rnacentral:lncRNA from 1 species